CAGCCGCCGCGGUAAUGCGAAGGGGGCUAGCGUUGCUCGGAAUCACUGGGCGUAAAGGGUGCGUAGGCGGGUUUUUAAGUCAGAGGUGAAAUCCUGGAGCUCAACUCCAGAACUGCCUUUGAUACUGAAAGUCUUGAGUUCGGGAGAGGUGAGUGGAACUGCGAGUGUAGAGGUGAAAUUCGUAGAUAUUCGCAAGAACACCAGUGGCGAAGGCGGCUCACUGGCCCGAUACUGACGCUGAGGCACGAAAGCGUGGGGAGCAAACAGGAAUAGAUACCCGGGUAGUCCCUGUCUCUUAUAC
rnacentral:rRNA from 1 species